rnacentral:ncRNA from 2 species
GUGGACAGGAUCAUCCUCCAGCUGAACCGUUACUACCCACAGAUCCUUACCAACAAGGAGGCGGAAAAGGUGCUGAGGAGUUCCGGAACCCCAAGGCAUCCUUGCGUGUGCGGCUCUGUGACCUCCUGAGCCACCUGCAGCGGAGCGGUGAGCGGGACUGCCAGGAGUUCUACCGAGCCCUGUAUAUCCAUGCCCAGCCCCUGCACAGCCGCCUGCCCAGCCGCCACGCUCUGCGACCCAUGAGCUUCCUGGCUGGCCUGGGCCUUGCUGUGGGACUGGCCCUGCUCCUGUACUGCUAUCCGCCAG